AUUGAACGCUGGCGGCAUGCUUUACACAUGCAAGUCGAACGGCAGCGCGGGCUUCGGCCUGGCGGCGCGUGGCGAACGGGUGAGUAAUGCAUCGGAACGUGCCCAGCCUUUGGGGCUAGCCCGGCGAAAGCCGGAUUAAUAUCGCACCCGACCUGAUGGUGAAAGCGGGGGAUCGAAAGGCCUCGCGCUAUUUGCGGGGCCGAUGUCGGAUUAGCUAGUUGGUUGGGUAAAGGCUUACCAAGGCGACGAUCCGUAGCUGGUCUGAGAGGACGACCAGCCACACUGGAACUGAGACACGGCCCAGACUCCUACGGGAGGCAGCAGUGGGGAAUUUUGGACAAUGGGCGCAAGCCUGAUGCAGCCAUGCCGCGUGAGGGAAGAAGGCCUUCGGGUUGUAAAACGCUUUUGUUAGGGAAGAAAUCCUCUGGGAUAAUACACCGGGGGGAUGACGGUACCGGAAGAAUAAGCAUCGGCUAACUACGUG
rnacentral:rRNA from 1 species